GAUGAACGCUGGCGGCGUGCCUAAUACAUGCAAGUCGAGCGAACGGACGAGAAGCUUGCUUCUCUGAUGUUAGCGGCGGACGGGUGAGUAACACGUGGAUAACCUACCUAUAAGACUGGGAUAACUUCGGGAAACCGGAGCUAAUACCGGAUAAUAUUUUGAACCGCAUGGUUCAAAAGUAAAAGACGGUCUUGCUGUCACUUAUAGAUGGAUCCGCGCUGCAUUAGCUAGUUGGUAAGGUAACGGCUUACCAAGGCAACGAUGCAUAGCCGACCUGAGAUGGUGAUCGGCCACACUGGAACUGAGACACGGUCCAGACUCCUACGGGAGGCAGCAGUAGGGAAUCUUCCGCAAUGGGCGAAAGCCUGACGGAGCAACGCCGCGUGAGUGAUGAAGGUCUUCGGAUCGUAAAACUCUGUUAUUAGGGAAGAACAUAUGUGUAAGUAACUGUGCACAUCUUGACGGUACCUAAUCAGAAAGCCACGGCUAACUACGUG
rnacentral:rRNA from 1 species